rnacentral:rRNA from 1 species
CGGCGUGCCUAAUACAUGCAAGUCGAACGGUCUUUCUAUGGAAGCUUGCUUCCACUGAGAAGAUAGUGGCGAACGGGUGAGUAACACGUGGGUAACCUGCCCAUAAGAGGGGGAUAACAUCCGGAAACGGGUGCUAAUACCGCAUAGUUUUCUUGAUCGCAUGAUUGAGAAAGGAAAGACGGCCUUUGUGCUGUCGCUUAUGGAUGGACCCGCGGCGUAUUAGUUAGUUGGUGAGGUAACGGCUCACCAAGACGAUGAUACGUAGCCGACCUGAGAGGGUGAUCGGCCACAUUGGGACUGAGACACGGCCCAAACUCCUACGGGAGGCAGCAGUAGGGAAUCUUCCGCAAUGGACGAAAGUCUGACGGAGCAACGCCGCGUGAGUGAAGAAAAGGUUUUCGGAUCGUAAAACUCUGUUGUCAGAGAAGAACAAGUUGGAGAGUAACUGCUCCAGCCUUGACGGUAUCUGACCAGAAAGCCACGGCUAACUACGUGCCAGCCGCUGC